rnacentral:rRNA from 1 species
GAUGAACGCUGGCGGCGUGCCUAAUACAUGCAAGUCGAGCGAACAGACGAGGAGCUUGCUCCUCUGACGUUAGCGGCGGACGGGUGAGUAACACGUGGAUAACCUACCUAUAAGACUGGGAUAACUUCGGGAAACCGGAGCUAAUACCGGAUAAUAUAUUGAACCGCAUGGUUCAGUAGUGAAAGACGGUUUUGCUGUCACUUAUAGAUGGAUCCGCGCCGCAUUAGCUAGUUGGUAAGGUAACGGCUUACCAAGGCGACGAUGCGUAGCCGACCUGAGAGGGUGAUCGGCCACACUGGAACUGAGACACGGUCCAGACUCCUACGGGAGGCAGCAGUAGGGAAUCUUCCGCAAUGGGCGAAAGCCUGACGGAGCAACGCCGCGUGAGUGAUGAAGGUCUUCGGAUCGUAAAACUCUGUUAUUAGGGAAGAACAAAUGUGUAAGUAACUAUGCACGUCUUGACGGUACCUAAUCAGAAAGCCACGGCUAACUACGU